CUAGCUACAGGCUUAACACAUGCAAGUCGAGGGGCAGCAUUUUAGUUUGCUUGCAAACUGAAGAUGGCGACCGGCGCACGGGUGAGUAACACGUAUCCAACCUACCGAUAACUCCGGAAUAGCCUUUCGAAAGAAAGAUUAAUACCGGAUAGCAUACGAAUAUCGCAUGAUAUUUUUAUUAAAGAAUUUCGGUUAUCGAUGGGGAUGCGUUCCAUUAGUUUGUUGGCGGGGUAACGGCCCACCAAGACUACGAUGGAUAGGGGUUCUGAGAGGAAGGUCCCCCACAUUGGAACUGAGACACGGUCCAAACUCCUACGGGAGGCAGCAGUGAGGAAUAUUGGUCAAUGGGCGAGAGCCUGAACCAGCCAAGUAGCGUGAAGGAUGAAGGCUCUAUGGGUCGUAAACUUCUUUUAUAUGGGAAUAAAGUUUUCCACGUGUGGAAUUUUGUAUGUACCAUAUGAAUAAGGAUCGGCUAACUCCGUGCCAGCAGCCGCGGUAAUACGGAGGAUCCGAGCGUUAUCCGGAUUUAUUGGGUUUAAAGGGAGCGUAGGUGGAUUGUUAAGUCAGUUGUGAAAGUUUGCGGCUCAACCGUAAAAUUGCAGUUGAAACUGGCAGUCUUGAGUACAGUAGAGGUGGGCGGAAUUCGUGGUGUAGCGGUGAAAUGCUUAGAUAUCACGAAGAACUCCGAUUGCGAAGGCAGCUCACUAGACUGUCACUGACACUGAUGCUCGAAAGUGUGGGUAUCAAACAGGAUUAGAUACCCUGGUAGUCCACACAGUAAACGAUGAAUACUCGCUGUUUGCGAUAUACAGUAAGCGGCCAAGCGAAAGCAUUAAGUAUUCCACCUGGGGAGUACGCCGGCAACGGUGAAACUCAAAGGAAUUGACGGGGGCCCGCACAAGCGGAGGAACAUGUGGUUUAAUUCGAUGAUACGCGAGGAACCUUACCCGGGCUUAAAUUGCAACAGAAUAUAUUGGAAACAGUAUAGCCGUAAGGCUGUUGUGAAGGUGCUGCAUGGUUGUCGUCAGCUCGUGCCGUGAGGUGUCGGCUUAAGUGCCAUAACGAGCGCAACCCUUAUCUUUAGUUACUAACAGGUUAUGCUGAGGACUCUAGAGAGACUGCCGUCGUAAGAUGUGAGGAAGGUGGGGAUGACGUCAAAUCAGCACGGCCCUUACGUCCGGGGCUACACACGUGUUACAAUGGGGGGUACAGAAGGCGGCUACCUGGUGACAGGAUGCUAAUCCCAAAAACCUCUCUCAGUUCGGAUCGAAGUCUGCAACCCGACUUCGUGAAGCUGGAUUCGCUAGUAAUCGCGCAUCAGCCAUGGCGCGGUGAAUACGUUCCCGGGCCUUGUACACACCGCCCGUCAAGCCAUGAAAGCCGGGGGUACCUGAAGUACGUAACCGCAAGGAGCGUCCUAGGGUAAAACUGGUAAUUGGGGCUAAGUCAUAACA
rnacentral:rRNA from 1 species